rnacentral:ncRNA from 2 species
GAAUAGAAUAAUUAAUCUGUGUGUAUAACCUCAAUAAUAUGGUUUGAGGGUCUCUACCAGGAACCGAUAAAUCCUGAUUACAACAAAUGUCACUUUCAU